rnacentral:rRNA from 1 species
GUGGUUUAAUUCGAUGCAACGCGAAGAACCUUACCUACUCUUGACAUCCAGAGAACUUAGCAGAGAUGCUUUGGUGCCUUCGGGAACUCUGAGACAGGUGCUGCAUGGCUGUCGUCAGCUCGUGUUGUGAAAUGUUGGGUUAAGUCCCGCAACGAGCGCAACCCUUAUCCUUUGUUGCCACCGGUUCGGCCGGGAACUCAAAGGAGACUGCCAGUGAUAAACUGGAGGAAGGUGGGGAUGACGUCAAGUCAUCAUGGCCCUUACGAGUAGGGCUACACACGUGCUACAAUGGCGUAUACAAAGAGAAGCGACCUCGCGAGAGCAAGCGGACCUCAUAAAGUACGUCGUAGUCCGGAUUGGAGUCUGCAACUCGACUCCAUGAAGUCGGAAUCGCUAGUAAUCGUAGAUCAGAAUGCUACGGUGAAUACGUUCCCGGGCCUUGUACACACCGCCCGUCACACCAU